GGUUUACCCUGGUGCAGGUGUGCCGCAGCGGUCAGUUGAAGACUCCGCGAGUUUCUCUGUGAAUUUCCCAUUACAGUCGUAGCGCACUCGGCGCUUGCUUGGAAGUUUAGGGGGUUUUUUUCGCUGUAAAAAGAAGUUUUCUUCACUCACAACAGACGCUAAUGUUUUUGUCACUUUUUAUGGAAUCAAACUCAAAAUAAGCCUGCUACUGCACCCUGGAUACUCUGGCUGCUGAACUGCCUCUGGAUACUCCUACAGACUUCCCCUCCUCAGUGCGUUCUGCACCCAGACCUGCAAACCCUUCCUCGUUCGUCGCUGCAACCCCCCGUAAUUCUGUCCCUGGAGCCCCCUUUCCAAUACCAGUUGCCAUCUUGUCCCCGCAACUAUACCUAGCCCAGGUCCCCUC
ensembl:lncRNA